UACGUAGGCAGCGAGCGUUGUUCGGAGUUACUGGGCGUAAAGGGUGCGUAGGCGGUUGUUUAAGUUUGGUAUGAAAUCUCCCGGCUCAACUGGGAGGGUGCGCCGAAUACUGAAUGACUAGAGUGCGGGAGAGGAUAGUGGAAUUCCUGGUGUAGCGGUGAAAUGCGUAGAUAUCAGGAGGAACACCGGUGGUGUAGACGGCUAUCUGGACCGUAACUGACGCUGAGGCACGAAAGCGUGGGUAGCAAACAGG
rnacentral:rRNA from 1 species